AAAGAACCAGUCGGGCCACCAUACUCCGCCUCGUCUCUGCUGCGCGCUUGUGUUCACCUAAGAGACCUUCUCCGUGUUUUGAGCUCCCAGAGUUUGUCGUAAGCGUAUGAGUUUCCCACAGGCUCCAAUCCUUUGGCUUUCUCGAGCAAAUCCGUCUCUGCCAUUUAUGUGAGCCUCGUAGGCCAUCCUGGCGGCUUCGCCGAUUCUUCGAGUCCUUUCCGUUUUCGUGUUUCUUGAGCUUCCACGGCCACCGUAACGCCGGACGUUCAGCUCGAAGCGCGCCCCUGCUGCGUAACAGGAACCUCCCCGGCCGCGGUACCGAGACUCGGGGGGCGGGCUUCCGGCCGAGGCCCUCGCCUUCAGACGCCUCUUCUAGAGCAACCCUUUCCUCCAAGUCCCCUUGGAAUUUUUCUGAGCGUUCGGUUCUCGCAGCCGCCACUCCUUCGAACUGGACCCCGCCAGCCCCUCCUCAAGCCUUCAGACCACGUCGCGUAGCCCGCACGCGCGUUCCGGAGUGGUCUUUGCUUCCUCGCAAAUGUCGCACGUCUGGACUCGGCUUCGGGGGCUCUGAGCGCUCAUACUUUCUCUUAGCUCUCUUUGUGCAGUCCCGAGCCCGGACGCGUGUGGAGAGACCCCCUGGCCUGGGGAGGGUGGGAUGGAGGAUCAGAAAAGAAGCCGUCAGCGGCCGUGAAGCCUCCUCUACAGAGAGAGAGAGAAAGGCAGAGACACAGGCAGAGGGAGAAGCAGGCUCCAUGCCGGGAGCCCGACACAGAACUCAAUCCCAGGACUCCAGGAUCACACCCUGGGCCAAAGGCAGGCGCUGAACUACUGAGCCACCCAGGGAUCCCUGCUCUCUGAGGACUUGAAGAGGGAGAGGAAGAAGCAGACUCCUUGCUGAGCAGGAAGCCCAGUGUGAUGUGGCACUUAUCCCAGGACCCCAGGAUCAUGCCCCGAGCCAAAGGCAGACACUUGACCAACUGAGCCACCCAGGUGCCCCUCUCCUGUUUCUUUUUCACUCAAGGCUACAUUAGAUCUCUCCAAGUUGUUGCAUGAACAUCUAGCUCAUUUUUCUGCAGUUGCAUGGAGUUGCACAUUUUCUUUUUUUUAUUCCCCUAGCGAUCGAUUGCUAGGUUGCUUGCAGCUUCCAUCCCCACAAAUAACACCGCAAUGAGCAGCCUUGUCCGUGUUCCCAUAUGCUUUUCUGGCUCCCGCACCGGGAUUCGGGAUUGCUGGGGUGGACACGGGGCAAACUGCCAGGUUGCUCUUCAUUGUAGAGAUCCAGUCAGUCCACUCUCCUGGGGAGGGUGUGCUGCUUCUCAGGUACCCAAGUCCUCACCAGCCCCUGGUAUUUUCCAGUCAAUCUUCUUGCUGCCAGGUGAUGGGAAGCAGGCUGGUGUCUUUUGGUUGUUUUCGUCUUAUUUUUAAAAUUUUUAUUUAUUUAUUCAUAAGACACACACACACACAGAGAGAGAGAGAGAGAGGCAGAGACAUAGGCAGAGGAAGAAGCAGGCUCCCUGCGGGGAACCCAAUGCAAGACUCGAUCCCAGGACCCUAGGAUCACGACCUGAGCCGAAAGCAGAUGCUCAACCGCUGGGCCACCCAGGUUCCCUGGUUGUUUUCAUCUUACUGCCCCUGAGUUUAAGCCUCUCUUCCAAAGCGAAG